AACUGAAUGCCAUUGUUUCCACAGAUGAGCACCAUGCCAGGACUGCCCACAAGGUCGUGCUUCUAUGACAUUGACCUUGACCCCAUCACAGAGGAAGUGAAAGGAUUGUUUUGAGAGUGACAUCCAAAUUCAGAAGCCUGAAAAUUAAGAACUGCAACUUUCCUGUUUCCUGCAAGUAGAAGACAAAAAAAUGAGUCUGAAAUAUUUCUGUUAUGUGUCUCUGGAAGAAUGUCAAGAUAGACCAAAGAGCAAAAGUUUACUCUUUCUUCAAACUAGUUUUUAUGAUGAAAUAUAGCUGUAAGGUUAAAAAAAAAAAAAAAAAAAAAACACACAAAAAAAACCAAAACAAAAAAACUAAAACAAAAAAAUACCCCAACCUGGUAAGCUAAAGUUUUACUCGCUGUAAUGCAGGAAGCUUUCUACUGGGGCUUACGCUUGUUUGUGGAUAAAAUGACAUUGAAAAAGAGCAGUUUUUCAAAUCAGAGUUUUUGUCUUUUCGCAGAGGAGUGUACAGAAGUAUUUCCUUUAUCUUGGCUAUCUACUAAAAACUUGGGUAAACAUGAUUAUGCUGUGUGACCAAGCCUAUUUCUCUCUGAAAAGUACACUUUUGCUCCUGGCAUUCAAGAGCUGAAACUACACACAGAUUAACUGCGCAUUUUUGAGUUAUCAUCAAGCGUUGCUCUGGAUGCGUUUGGGCGACAGCCAAGCGUCAAGCAAGGAAGAUAUUAAACAGAGAAAGAACAGAGCAUGUAUUUUGUAAAAAGUUUUUAAUGUAUAAUUUGUUUCCUUGUUGGGCAAAGAUCUUUUGAAACACUUAAGCCAUAGCUGUCUUGUAUCCGUAGGUCUGUCUUUAUCCGAAGUGUGUGUUACAGGCUGUCCAGCUGAUUAUGUGCCUGUUGUGGUGAAGCUGGUUGUUCAGACAGGGCACUGCUCCUUCUGAAGUGCUGUUUUGCUCCUGUUCAUGGCUAAUGAAGCCUCCUGCUGUGCUGGCUGCCGACCUGGAGUUUUUCCCUGGCAGUGCACAGAGGCCCAGUAACAACAGAGGAGCGUCCAUCAAGCAGGGAUGUGGACAGGGCACAGCUUUUUUCUGCUUCAUUUUGCAGGUUUUAACGACCAUACUUGUAAAAGUGAAGGGUAUUUCCAUUUGAAGGGGUAUUCAAACAAGUUGAAUUGCAAACCAUGUGCUUUGUCUCAGUAACUUCACUUUCCUGGUUUCUCCUAAAACCUGUAGCAAAACAAGCCUUAGGCACAGGAUACUGCAUUUAACUUUCCAAGCUGCUACUCCUCAGGAAACUCUUGCUGACUGACUGUUGGUCCUUUCAAUAACAAAAAUGUGACAGAACAAUAGGGUGAAUCGAGACAAUAGGCAAUUGUUUUUUUAGGUAAAAAGCGGUGAAAUAAUGAUGAGAGAGUUUAUUUUCCUGGUGACGUUUUCCAUCCUGUCGCUUUGCUCUGCUUACGCACAUCUGCGUGUUAUGGGCUUUUGCAAUGUAGCCUCGGUUCCCUUCUACAGAGCCACAUUUGGAGACUUAAUUAUCUCAGGAACUCUGUAGUAAUUGAGGGGUUUGUUUUGGUUCUUAAAAUCAUGCUUCGUUAUUUAUAAACUCAAAACUAUAAUUAUGGACAGUAGAGCAAACUGGGGACAAUUAAUUGUGCCUUCCCUGGAGUAGCACGGAAAUGUCUGCUGACUGCAUUUCAGUGCUAUUCAUAGCAUGGUCCUCCAGCACCACGGGGAUUGCUGUGAAGAUAAAUGUAAAAACUAGAGCAAUUUAAUAUUUUAUCCUUACUAGACAAUAGAGCUCAUAACAGCCUAGAUGUGGAUGCUGUAAUUACACUAGGUCAUGACAAAGAUGGCAAGUAGAAAGUCAGAUUCAAGCUCCCAGAGCUGCUGGGAAGAGAGAUUUCUUAUAUUUUCUAUUAAAUUGUGCCACAAAAUACAACUCAAUCCUAUUCAUACAUACAACAGUGUUGUAAAUUAGUCUUGCACACACUCAUCUAUCUAGCCAAGAAAUAGCCAAAGUGUUUUGGAAGAAAAUAAGUGUGGUUUCAAGACAUAGUUUUCCUAGUAGCUUCCUUACAGGAAAAGUAAACAAGGUUUUCCCUCCAUUUUGUCCAGAGAAAUUUAGAAAAUACAUAAUUGUGCCUUUCUAGGAAUCACUGUGGUUCCCCUGCAGGUGCACUGGAAUUGUCCCCAUGCAGUGCAGGAUACUAAAUGUGGCACUGGCUGAUUGCUUUAAAGCUUCCCUAUGGCUGUGGAUGUUCGAGCAACAAGUUUUAUAAGUAAUUUCAUGCUGCUGUUUGAUACUUUCUAUUGUGUUGUCUCCAUCUUAUUCCUUUAGGCCACACGCACUGGGACCAUUUAUCUGACCCAUCACUCUCUCCCUAAAACACCACUCCAUCUCAUUUAGUUGAAAAUUGACAAACAUCCUGUAAUUUUUCUACUGUGAUGUGCACAAGAUUUGUUAUAUUGUUUAGAUAGCUUCAGUAAUUCAAGGAAAGCUGAAAUGGCCCACUUGUCUUUUGUCUUAGCUUUUCCCCCACCCCAUCUAUUUAAGUAGCUCCAAAAUCUCUCAAGCUAUUGCAUUUUUGGUCCUUUGUCAUGAUCCAAAGGGAUUGAGCUAUUGGCACCAGCUGAGCUGCAGAAACUGACACAGUGUGUUCCCUGGGGCCACCCUGAUUCUGAGCCCUUCCUCCAGAAGAGUUUAACGUGAAAAUUUUUGAGAUCAUUCUUAUUGGUGUGUCACUUGUUACAUGGAUGUCACUGUGGGACUCCUUUUUCUGCAUCUACUCUGAGCAGUGUUGUCACAUGGCAGCUUUGUAAGGCAGCUUGCCAGGCUUAUCCUUGCAUUUGCUGAAAUGUGUCUAGCACCAUGUGGUUGUUUAUUAUCAGAAGAUCUGCUUUCUGUAGUGACUGAUUACUUUGUUAUUGCUACUGCUGAACUGAUUCUGCAAGGACAUUGAAAUACUUGAGAAUACAUGCAACAGGUUUCUUCAUUUGCAGUUUGAAAUUCAAGCUUCCAGAAUUUCAAUUGCCAUGAACAUGACAAUAAAGUUUGUGUGCUAACGUUUAGUUUGCAAGUGGUACCUGUCUGAAUUCCUUAAUAAAUACAUGCAUUAUUUAA